GACGAACGCUGGCGGCGUGCUUAACACAUGCAAGUCGAACGGAAAGGCCCCUUUGGGGGUACUCGAGUGGCGAACGGGUGAGUAACACGUGAGUAACCUGCCCUUGACUUCGGGAUAACUUCAGGAAACUGGGGCUAAUACCGGAUAGGAAUCCUUGCUGCAUGGUGGGGGUUGGGAAGCUUCGGCGGUUUUGGAUGGACUCGCGGCUUAUCAGCUCGUUGGUGGGGUAGUGGCUUACCAAGGCUCUGAGGGGUAGCCGGCCUGAGAGGGCGACCGGCCACAUUGGGACUGAGAUACGGCCCAGACUCCGACGGGAGGCAGCAGGGGGGAAUAUUGCACAAGGGGCGGAAGCCUGAUGCAGCAACGCCGCGUGCGGGAUAACGGCCUUCGGGUUGUAGACCGCUUUCAGCAGGGGCGAAGCUUGUGGUGACGGUACCUGCAGAAGAAGCACCGGCUAACUACGUG
rnacentral:rRNA from 1 species